CCCAACAAUACAAACGACAUCGUUUCAUCUAUUUGAUUUGGGUCGUUGAUCUCAGUUGAUCGAAUGGUCUGGAACUAAUCUUCCUCAAGUAUUUAAGUGUCGGAAACCAGACCCCCUAUCGUCUCUCAAUUUUCCCAUCUCAAAGAUCAACCCCAAACCCUAGAAGCUGCCCCCACUUUUCCACCGCUUUAGGGUGGCAGCGCCACCACCAAACUACCCUAAAAUAACACCCCAUAACCCCCUCACUCUCCCCUUUCCUGAUCCUCACUCCAUUUCCCUCGAAUAUGGCUAAAACCUCUCGAAUCUCAAAUCUAGGGUUCGAGCCAUAAAAGCCAAAGCCAAAUCUGCACAUGCAAGGGUGUUUUUCCAGUUUUCAUGAGUUUUCAGGGUCGGGUUUACCAUGGAAUAACGUUAUUCGCUUGUUCUUAACAAAGAACAAGCGGUUGACAUUAUUUUGGGGUUUAAAUCGAAAGGUCAAUCGUCAAAUUCGAGCCUGAGUUGGUGAGUUUCUUUAUUUUUCUUUUGUUUAUUCUUGCGAUUCUUUCAGCUUUGUUUCCUCUUCUCUUCUUCUCCUCCUCUCUGGUUAAUCAAACUGAAACUUGAACAAGUUUUUAAGAUUGAGUACUGCCCAUUUUGUUCUUUUCAGUUUGUCCUUUCCAAGUUUGGUUCUAUGAUUUUUUUUGCUUUGUCUGUUUAAUUCUGUCAUUAAAAUCAUGAUUAAUUUCUUUAGUUUAACUAGAUUUAUAUGAUAAUUUAGUCCUUUAGUUUAGGUUUUAAAUUUUGUGAAUUGUUUAGUCGCCUUCCUAUUAUUUGUCGUAAUGUGCUCUAUUUUGGUUUGAUUCAUUUUGCCAUUUGGGCUCUGAAUUCAUUUCAAAGUUCAUUCCAAAAAUUCGAAUUGAUUCUUUGAGCCCAUGCCUGGUUCAACCAUUGAGUCAUUUGUCUCAUGACCCAUUUAGGGUUUUAGAGGUAAUAAUAGGUGCUUAAGGGGGCAAUUUAGGAAUUCUAGGGGUAAGAGAAUCUUAGUAACUAACCUAGAAAGCUUCUAGGAAGCAAGGGAGGGGGACUAUUUUGAAUUUCUGAUUUCUAAACUAGGAGUACCUAAGCUAAUAAAAAUACCAAAAGGAUUAGCGUGCAAAACUAGUUGUAUUUCUGCAGCCCUAAUGCCUUGCCUGUAAAGACACCUUUUCUUGACAUUCAAGUCAGAUUUUGAGAGAUAAAAAAUUCAGAAAAAUCAAAACGGCUGAGCAUUUGAAAGUAACCUUGAAUUCUCUACAAUUCGUUGUUAAAAACUGAUGAAAAAAUAUGCUUAGUCUUUGGUUUUCUAAUCUACAUAACUUAUCUAAAACUACUGAAAUGAUGAGGUUUUACACAUGGUUUGAAAUGGACUGAAUUUGGGUUUUGAAAGCUUUGGUUUGAGUUUUUCUGUUUGAUUUACUGUUCCAUUGCUGGGUGGAGUUGUUUCCAGUUGAUACUAUCCCGCUGUUGAUCUACUGUUGCUUGUUUGCUUCUUCCUAAUCUCACGACUGAGUUUCUGAUUCUGUUUUGUUACAUUCAGGUACAUGUCCCUGAAACUUUAUUGUUUGUGAAUUUUUGACCAGAAUGAUGAAAUGAGAAGCAGAAGUUUUAAGCAUAACAUUAGUUAUUUCUACUGAUUCAAUCAUGUUUCUUAUGAAUUUCUUUGCUCACCUGAUGUGUUCUAUUAUUUAGUCGAGUUCUGUCUUAGAUAAAUAAGCUUCUACCCUUGUACCUGAUUUGGGACUGUUAUGAAAUAUGUGUGAUAGCCUUAGUCAGAAUUUUAGACUCUCUUACUUUGAGUUUAGUUGAUUCAUUAUCAGCAUUGUGAAAUUAGCUAUAGUUAAAAGAAUUGCUUUGGCC
rnacentral:lncRNA from 1 species